UGGUGGGUCUUAACACAUGCAAGUCGAACGAUGAAGCCCAGCUUGCUGGGUGGAUUAGUGGCGAACGGGUGAGUAACACGUGGGUGAUCUGCCCUGCACUUCGGGAUAAGCCUGGGAAACUGGGUCUAAUACCGGAUAGGACCUCGGGAUGCAUGUUCCGGGGUGGAAAGGUUUUCCGGCGCAGGAUGGGCCCGCGGCCUAUCAGCUUGUUGGUGGGGUAACGGCCCACCAAGGCGACGACGGGUAGCCGGCCUGAGAGGGCGACCGGCCACACUGGGACUGAGACACGGCCCAGACUCCUACGGGAGGCAGCAGUGGGGAAUAUUGCACAAUGGGCGCAAGCCUGAUGCAGCGACGCCGCGUGAGGGAUGACGGCCUUCGGGUUGUAAACCUCUUUCAGUACCGACGAAGCGCAAGUGACGGUAGGUACAGAAGAAGCACCGGCCAACUACGUGCCAGCAGCCGCGGUAAUACGUAGGGUGCGAGCGUUGUCCGGAAUUACUGGGCGUAAAGAGCUCGUAGGCGGUUUGUCGCGUCGUCUGUGAAAACCCGCAGCUCAACUGCGGGCUUGCAGGCGAUACGGGCAGACUUGAGUACUGCAGGGGAGACUGGAAUUCCUGGUGUAGCGGUGAAAUGCGCAGAUAUCAGGAGGAACACCGGUGGCGAAGGCGGGUCUCUGGGCAGUAACUGACGCUGAGGAGCGAAAGCGUGGGUAGCGAACAGGAUUAGAUACCCUGGUAGUCCACGCCGUAAACGGUGGGCGCUAGGUGUGGGUUUCCUUCCACGGGAUCCGUGCCGUAGCUAACGCAUUAAGCGCCCCGCCUGGGAGUACUGCCGCAAGGCUAAAACUCAAAUGAAUUGACGGAA
rnacentral:rRNA from 1 species